AACGAACGCUGGCGGCAGGCCUAACACAUGCAAGUCGAACGCCGUAGCAAUACGGAGUGGCAGACGGGUGAGUAACGCGUGGGAACAUACCCCUCGGUUCGGAAUAACUUAGGGAAACUUGAGCUAAUACCGGAUACGUCCGAGGUUUUAACCGGUCCUCGGAGAAAGAUUUAUCGCCGGAGGAUUGGCCCGCGUCUGAUUAGCUUGUUGGUGAGGUAAUGGCUCACCAAGGCGACGAUCAGAGCUGGUCUGAGAGGAUGAUCAGCCACAUUGGGACUGAGACACGGCCCAAACUCCUACGGGAGGCAGCAGUGGGGAAUAUUGGACAAUGGGCGAAAGCCUGAUCCAGCCAUGCCGCGUGAGUGAUGAAGGCCUUAGGGUUGUAAAGCUCUUUUACCCGGGAAGAUAAUGACGAUACCGGGAGAAUAAGCCCCGGCUAACUUCGUGCCAGCCGCCGCAGUAAG
rnacentral:rRNA from 1 species